UAAUAAAAUGCUUCGCUGGGCGCAGCUUGAUACGACCGCAGAGGUCGAACCCUGUACAGUUGGGGCAAGUAUGGACACAACAUUCAAGCUUGAUACAGCACUGAAUUUGGAUUGUAAUUAAAUAUUUGACACAGCAUAGGUUUCUCACACAGAAUGAAAGUGGUCUAAGAACUUAAAAUUUUUUAAGUUACCUGUUCAAACCAUAUUAUUAUUAUUUGCUUUUAUAUAUAAAUCAGAAAUAACCAAUUUAAAAUGGAAAA